UAAAUUUGUUCGUUUUCAAGAUACGUCAAAAUAAAAUAGUUUGCUACGAUAUUUAACAUGAUGAAUCACUAUAAAUUUGUUGGUUUUCAAGAUACACCAAAAUAAAAUAGUCUGGUACAAGAUUUAACAUAAUGAAUCACUAUAAAUUUGUUGGUUUUCAAGAUACACCAAAAUAAAAUAGUCUGGUAUGAGAUUUAACAUAAUGAAUCACUAUAAAUUUGUUGGUUUUCAAGAUACACCAAAAUAAAAUAGUCUGGUAUGAGAUUUAACAUAAUGAAUCACUAUAAAUUUGUUGGUUUUCAAGAUACACCAAAAUAAAAUAGUCUGGUACAAGAUUUAACAUAAUGAAUCACUAUAAAUUUGUUGGUUUUCAAGAUACACCAAAAUAAAAUAGUCUGGUACAAGAUUUAACAUAAUGAAUCACUAUAAAUUUGUUGGUUUUCAAGAUACACCAAAAUAAAAUAGUCUGGUACAAGAUUUAACAUAAUGAAUCACUAUAAAUUUGUUGGUUUUCAAGAUCCUCCGAAAUAAAAUAGUCUGCUACGAAUUUAACAAUGAAUCACUAUAAAUUUCUUUGUUUUCAAGGUACAUCGAUAUAAAAGUCUGCUACGAUACUUUACAUAAUGAAUUACUAAAAAAAGUCAGAAUGCGAAGGAUGCUACAAUUAGAGAAAUAUCAGAUUAUAUGAAGGACUCAGUAUGGAAAAGGGAACUUGAGAGCUAAGAAGGAUGACAGGACUAAAACUGUUCCUCUAUGGGCAGUGAUAAACCCAAAUACUGAGACUGAGCAUCAUUAUAAAAACAUUACAGCUGAGGAGACAUGACAGAGCUCUAGAGGGUCAAAUGAGCAUCAAACAGAGUACAGGUCGGAGAAAGCCAGUCAGCUCACCUCACCACUGGACACCACUCUUACAGACCUUACGACACUGAUAUCAGGUCACCCUCCCAUAGGACACCACUUUUACAGACCUUACAGCACUGGUAUCAGGUCACCUUAACACUGGACACUCUUACAGACCUUACAACACUGAUAUCAGGUCACGUUCCCAGAGGACACCACUUCUACAGACCUGACGACACAGACACCAAGUCACAUUUCCAUGCAACACCAUAUCAUUGGACACCAUUUUCAGACUACAAGCGUGUAUUAACUAGAACGUAAUCUCUCUAUACAGAAGGCGGGACAGUGUAUACAUAGCUAAUACAUAACAUUAACCUACAGAACCUAAUAUUGUACAGGGUAAAUAAAAAAUACAGUGAGCUUUUUCUCCGACACAAGUUAUCACAGUUCUCCAGCAGCUUCGUCACACCAGCCAGGUUCCUUCACUGUCGCUCCACUCGUAAGCUAACCACUAAAAAGGACAUUACAAGGGAGAAAUAUGUGGUAGUUGAAAUAGUUUGUCCCUUAUUGUUGCUCCACUCAUAACCCAACCACUAUAAAGGACAUUACAAGGGAGAAAUACGUAGCUGAAUAAGUUUGUUCCUCAUCGUUGCUCCACUCGUAACCUAACCACUAAAAAGGAUGUCAGAAGGAAGAAAUACGUACUUGAAAUAGUUUGUCCCUUAUUGUCGCUCCACUCAUAAGCUAACCACUAUAAAGGACGUCAUGGGGAAGAUAUGCCUGAAAUAGUUUGUUCUUCGUCGUCCCUCAACUUGUAACCUAACCACUAAAAAUGACGUCACAAUGAAAAUGCGGCAGACAGAAAGGAUGUCACAAGGAUGAUACGUUUGAAAUAGUUUGUCCUUCAUAGUCACUCAACUCGUAACCUAACCACUAAUAAGGACGUCACAAGAUAGAUGCAUUUAAAAUAGUUUGUCUGAGGAGUCGCAAACAAAACUCAAUGCUACAGAAAGGACGUCAUGAGAUACACCUGAAAUAGUUUGCCCUUCAUCGUCCCUCCACUCGUAACCUAACCACUAAUAAGACGUCACAAGGAAGAAAUACGUGGUUAAAAUAGUUUGUCUGAGGAGUCGUAAACAAAACUCAAUGCUACAAGUACGCCAGAGACAGAAAGGACGUCAUAGAGAAAGAUACGCCUAAAAUAGUUUGCCCUUCAUCGUCCCUC